GCUACGGGGAUGAUUUUACGAACUGAACUCUCUCUUUCUGAUGGAUUAGUGGAGAAAACAGAAAAUUCUGAGUAGCACUGUACUGUACGCAACAAAUGUCAGGGCCCUAUUGAUUUGUCUGAGGUGUUAGUGAAGGGUGUUAUUUUUUCAGAUGUUCAGCCCACAAGAGCUUACUGGUGAAGGAAUGGGACAAGACCCAUCUUUAUGCAAAGCCAGCGUUACAGUAAUGUUCCAGCAUCUCAUAAUCUAUCCUGGGGAAUUCAGCUGCCUCCCAGGGUGAAUACAGGUAUUCCUGAUGACAGUCUGCCUCUAUCUUACAGAGCAGCUUGUUGCUAUAUACCAUUGAAAAGCCUUCAGAGCUGAGAGGUACUACUAACCAAUAACCUGCUUGGCUCAAAGGGCCAGCACCUUCUCUCUAAAGCCCAAGAGGAGUUUGAGGAAAACUAGGUGUCUGUGUUCACUCCAGGCUGAAGUUACAGGUCUGAGCAAAUAAGGUGUAUAAAAAAUGGAAUCUGUCUUGGAGGACAUCAGAAGGUGAAUUUUCCAAGUUCUUGGACAACCUAGCUGUUGAAAAGCUUUCUGGGUUUGGGGGGUAUUUCAGAUGUACCUUAAAGUGUUAGCAGACACAGAUUAAGACACUGGGAGCCAAUGAAACAGCAGUUGAGGGUUUGCUGUGUAUCACAUUUCUGUAUUUUAUCACCCCCUUCCUGCAACAUUAUUUAUCUGGAAUCUACCUGCCCUUUUGUUUUUUAGAUACAAGGGCUUGGUUUUGUUACCCAGGCUGGUUUCAAGGCCAUAGCUUUAAGAGAUCCUCUCACCACAGAUUUCCAAAGUGCUGGGAUUGCAGGUGUGAUUCAUGGCACCCAGACUUUGCUGCCUUUCUUACAUGAUCCAGGCCCAGAACCCAAACUCAGGCACUGUAUAGAUGACCACUUUCGUAAACUACUGACCUAGCUUGUUGCCAAUUGUUGAUUGAACUUCCCAUAACUCCACUUCGUGUCUGUUCCUCUGUAUACAGCCACCUUCUGUUCCCGUCAUGAGCCUUUAGGUCUCCAUUUGCAUAUUGCAAAUACUAUGUUCCAUGUAGGUAGCUCAUUCAGGGCCUUGCUCUUCACUUCAAAAAAGGUUCCCUUGAGGACUGGCUGUCAAUUUGUGUUGCUGUGUUGGUUGUUGAUGAAAAUAAUAAAAUGAUUGAUUACAUA
rnacentral:lncRNA from 1 species